AGAAUCAACGCUGGCGGCGUGCCUAACACAUGCAAGUCGAACGAGAAAGUGGAGCAAUCCAUGAGUAAAGUGGCGACCGGGUGAGUAACACGUGACUAACCUACCUUCGAGUGGGGGAUAACAUCGGGAAACCGAUGCUAAUACCGCAUAACAUCGCAAGAUCAAAGCAGCAAUGCGCUUGAAGAGGGGGUCGCGGCUGAUUAGCUAGUUGGCGGGGUAAUGGCCCACCAAGGCGAAGAUCGGUAUCCGGCCUGAGAGGGCGCACGGACACACUGGAACUGAAACACGGUCCAGACUCCUACGGGAGGCAGCAGUGGGGAAUUUUGCGCAAUGGGGGAAACCCUGACGCAGCAACGCCGCGUGGAGGAUGAAGCCCCUUGGGGCGUAAACUCCUUUCGACCAAGACGAUAAUGACGGUACUGGUGGAAGAAGCACCGGCUAACUCUGCGCCAGCAGCCGC
rnacentral:rRNA from 1 species